rnacentral:rRNA from 1 species
UUCAUGGAGAGUUUGAUCCUGGCUCAGGACGAACGCUGGCGGCGUGCCUAAUACAUGCAAGUCGAGCGAAUCAAUAGGAGCUUGCUCCUGUUGGUUAGCGGCGGACGGGUGAGUAACACGUGGGCAACCUGCCUGUAAGACUGGGAUAACACCGGGAAACCGGUGCUAAUACCGGAUAAUCCUUUUCCUCUCAUGAGGAAAAGCUGAAAGUCGGUUUCGGCUGACACUUACAGAUGGGCCCGCGGCGCAUUAGCUAGUUGGUGAGGUAACGG